rnacentral:rRNA from 1 species
GAUGAACGCUGGCGGCGUGCCUAACACAUGCAAGUAGAGCGAGAUAAAUGUGAGUGGAGACUUCGGUCAAAGCGAUCAUUUUGAAAGCGGCGGACGGGUGAGUAACGCGUGAGGAAUCUGCCCCAUACAAAGGGAUACCCACUGGAAACGGUGAUUAAUACCUUAUAAGACCACGAAGUCGACUGGCUUAGUGGCCAAAGAUUUAUCGGUAUGGGAUGAGCUCGCGUCUGAUUAGCUAGUUGGUGAGGUAAAGGCUCACCAAGGCGACGAUCAGUAGCCGACCUGAGAGGGUGAACGGCCACACUGGAACUGAGACACGGUCCAGACUCCUACGGGAGGCAGCAGUGGGGAAUAUUGCACAAUGGGCGCAAGCCUGAUGCAGCAACGCCGCGUGAAUGAUGAAGGCCUUCGGGUCGUAAAGUUCUGUCCUAAGGGAAGAAUACAGUGACGGUACCUUAGGAGGAAGCCCCGGCUAACUACGUGCCAGCCGCCGCGGUAA